AUUGAAGUGGCAGAUAAUAAUGCAAUAGAGUUAAGUUCUACAAAUGAAAAAUACUUUUCCUUCAAUU
rnacentral:tRNA from 1 species